rnacentral:rRNA from 1 species
CGGGACGGGUGAGUAAUGUCCGGGAAACUGCCUGAUGGAGGGGGAUAACUGCUGGAAACGGUAGCUAAUACCGCAUAACGUCGCAAGACCAAAGAGGGGGACCUUCGGGCCUCUUGCCAUCGGAUGUGCCCAGAUGGGAUUAGCUAGUAGGUGGGGUAACGGCUCACCUAGGCGACGAUCCCUAGCUGGUCUGAGAGGAUGGCCAGCCACACUGGAACUGAGACACGGUCCAG